GCAGCCACUCGUUUACAAGGAUGAUAACCACAAACCUGAGAUGGCUUUGGCAUUGACCAAGUUCGAGGCCUUGUGUGGCUUCAUAAGUCUUGAGGAGCUUAAAGUGAUUGUUCAGACUGUGCCCGAGAUUGUUGAAGUAGUUGGUAAUGCGCUUGCAGAGCUAGUAUUGGACUUGAGCGAGGAUGAUGAAGAGGAGAAAGGUAAAUUAGUGCUCAGAAAAUUAUUCACGGAGAUUAUGUCAGCUAGCAAGGAUGUGAUCACGGAAGUACUUGCUAAGCUGAUUAGUCGUCUGAACAUUAAAAACAAGGUAAGGGUGCUGACCGACAAGGAACAACUGGUCCUAGGACUUGAGAAGCAGUAUCCAUCUGAUGUUGGUGUUUUAGCAGCAUUCUUGUUUAAUUACGUGAAGCUCAAUCCUGGUGAAGCUUUAUAUUUAGGGGCAAAUGAACCCCAUGCAUAUGUAUAUGGAGA
rnacentral:misc_RNA from 1 species